rnacentral:lncRNA from 1 species
ACACAUUCAGCAAGAAAAGCAGACCAACAAUAAAGUAAUUACCAGGAGUUUGGCUGUCCCUUAAGUAUAAUAUCUCUUAAUUUUGUGAAUUUUAUCUUCCUAGAAUAGCAAAAUACUCAUGUAUAUUUAAAUGAUAAACUUCUGGAAAGAUUUACAGAUUUUUAAAGUUCCAGUGAUGGAUUGAAUCUGUAGUCUUCGAAUUAGCUUUCUCCUUUCUGGUUUUGAGAAGCCUAAUUUCUCAAGAUUCGGAUUUAGGCAGUGUGUUUCAUAUCCCAUUUCCCUAAUAAUUACAUGUAUAAACCUGAGCUUGGAAUCUGGAUAGAGUAAGUGCAGAUUUCUCAAUAGUGCAGCAUAGGCGGGUUUUUUUUUCACUGAUUUUCAGUUUUAUAUUAACAUCCGCUGGGCAGCUAAUUAUCACAACUGUACCCAGUUACUCUGCUCAAACCCAAAUCAUUAUAUCGGGUACUUACAUUUUAUUUAGGUCUUCACUGGUACAUUCCACCAGUAUUUCUUUUUAUUAUGAGUGGCUCUGGCUUCUACCAUAUUGUGGGUUCUUAUUUCUUUGUUUUCGGGAUUAUCCUUCCGACGGAUUUCAUUAUAGAGGGUCCGAGCUAUAACGUCAUGUCUUAUCAGUAGAUAAUACUGUGAUGACAUUUUCGGGCAACUCCUUAUGAUAUGGGGAAUAUCUUCAGUGUGUACUCCACAAAGUCAGCAUCGGUUGUCACACUUUACGGUUUUAUCUGCAUCUCCAUCCCUUUUAUGAAUCAGGUACUUGGUAUUUCUUGUUCCUGGAUUGCAAAGGCAUACUCUCAAAGUGGGAGGUAGCAAUAUAUAUACAAGGAUCAAAAAAGUUUGAUUCAAAUUCAUUGGUACUCUUGAGUUUCAAGCAUGGUGCUAGUCGCCAAUCAUUUUGAAAUUGAAUGACAGAAGUUGAUUGCUAUUAUCUUUAAAGUGGGUUGUGAUUGGUUGAGAAAGGUCAUGCGGUGUCGUGGUUUGAUGUUGGUAUAUGAGUAAGAGUUAGUAGGAAAAUACAGCAUGGUGAACAGAAAAUAGACCACGUGGCGAUUAGGAAAUCGGUCAACUUGUUGGGGGAAGUAAGAAGGGGUGGAAUGUGCAAGUAUAUAGUUCUAUAUGUGGAUGUGGAAACGCCUUGAUAUGGUUUUGUGUGCAUGUGCGUGUUGAUGCAAUCGUGCGCACUUGUACAUGGGAGCGCACGCGCAUGUCUGUACACACACAAACACACAUACAUACGCUUCACACACACACACAUACGCUUUACACACACACACACAUACGUACGCUUAGACAAACAUGCACGCGCGCACACGCACACAUACACGCGCAUACACACACAUGCACACACAUACUCGCAUACACACACAUGCGUAUUCAUUCAUAUGUACAUAUGUAUAUUUGCAUGCAUGUAUGCAUGCAUACCAGGGUGCAUUCGCGCGUGUGUGUGUGAGUAUACAAACGCAAUAAAGCGUUGGGGAUUGGUAAGCGUUGGGAAUAGGUAUGCGUUGAGAAUUAGUAUGCUUUGGAGGGUUGGUAAAAGUUGGGGAUUGGUAAUUGGCGGUCCUGCUCAUAGGGUUGGUUGGUAGCGGUGGCCUUGGUGCAGGCGGGGUAGAGCAGCAGCUGGUGCUAAGGUGGUAUAUCCGAAUUGUCGGCAGUCAGAGGCUUGAAAUUUUCCAGAACGGCAUACCACUAGUGAGAGCAAAACGAUAAAUCUUUUUUCUUGUUGAUGGAUACAGCGGGUUUUUGGAGAUAUGCAGUUUUUCGCGGAGGCAGAGCUGGCAGUUGGAGGUGCCGGAUGAAUAUGAUUGUGCUCUGUCGACAAUAGUCCACUUGAUCCUGGAUAUUUCACCUCGGAAAUCACGGAGUCUCCAGACAAAGCGAAACAGAGAACUAGAAUUCUUUCUGUCCUUGGAUCUAAACGAGUGCAUAUACUGGGAGUAUUUUUUCUUGAAGUUAUUAGUUGUCAUACCUGUAUAUUGCCUAGUAAUGCCAUCGGAUGGUGAAAAGAUGGCUCUGUAUACUACGGCCCUUGAUAGGCAAGAUCCUUCUAGAGGGUACAUGGUGGGGUUUCGGAAGUUGCAAGUUGGGAUUGGGGGAAGUUUGGGUGCAUUUGUACGUCUGUUGAUGCGUGCGAUAUUAGAUGCGAUGUUGUCUACGCAAGAGUAUCUUAUCUUGACAUUAUGAGGGUUGAAGAGUUUGUGAUACUGAUGGCCUCUAGGGGAAGUGUUUCUUAAUUAGCGACAGGAAUCCCCUAGCAAAAUUGAUGGAAACUUCUGGGUUGAAAUGGUGGGGUAUACCAUAUAAUUUUCCUUCUUCUGUCUCUUUGGGGUGAGGAGAGGGUGUUUGAGGUUUGUCCACAUACGUGAGCUUCCCAGUAGACCCGCUCCUAGCCAAAGCAACGUUGUAGUGGGGGGCAACCCUGCUAAAGUUCUCUCUUUUGGCCGAGAGAUUAGAUAGUCGUUUACUAAUGCCGGGAGCCAGGCUU